GACGUAGGGUGCAAGCGUUGUCCGGGAUUAUUGGGCGUAAAGAGCUCGUAGGCGGUCUGUCGCGUCGAUCGUGAAAACUUGGGGCUUAACCCUGAGCUUGCGGUCGAUACGGGCAUGACUGGAGUUCGGCAGGGGAGACUGGAAUUCCUGGUGUAGCGGUGAAAUGCGCAGAUAUCAGGAGGAACACCGGUGGCGAAGGCGGGUCUCUGGGCCGAUACUGACGCUGAGGAGCGAAAGCGUGGGGAGCGAGCAGG
rnacentral:rRNA from 1 species